CCUACGGGUGGCUGCAGUGAGGAAUAUUGGUCAAUGGCCGGAAGGCUGAACCAGCCACGCCGCGUGAAGGGCAGUGCCCUACGGGCGUUAAACUUCUUUUGUGCGGGAGCAAUAAUGGUCACGUGUGGCCAGACGAGAGUACCGUACGAAUAAGCAUCGGCUAACUCCGUGCCAGCAGCCGCGGUAAUACGGGGGAUGCAAGCGUUAUCCGGAUUUAUUGGGUUUAAAGGGUGCGUAGGCUGUGAGGUAAGUCAGCGGUGAAAUGCCCCCGCUCAACGGGGUGAAGUGCCAUUGAUACUGGCUGGCUGGAAUGCGGAUGCCGUGGGAGGAAUGUGUGGUGUAGCGGUGAAAUGCAUAGAUAUCACACAGAACACCGAGUGCGAAGGCAUCUCACGAAUCCGCGAUUGACGCUGAUGCACGAAAGCGUGGGUAUCAAACAGGAUUAGAUACCCUUGUAGUC
rnacentral:rRNA from 1 species